UAUGGCCAUAUCGUGUUGAAACACUGGUUCUCGUCUGAUUACCAAAAAUUAAGCAACGUUGACCCUGGUUAUUACCUAGAUGGGUGACUGCUUGGGAAUACCAGCUGCUGUAUG